CAAACUCAGGACCUUGUACUUUCCAGGCAAGAGCAGCACCACUGUCAGCACACAAUGUUAUCACUAUUGUUUUGCAAUUUUCUCAGCAACAGUGUCAGCUCCAACACAGUAGUGUUCGAGAACAUGGCUUUGGAGUCAGAUGGACUUGGGUCCAAAUCCUGACAUUACAGCUUCCAGGUGUGAGUUGGGAAAAGCUGCUAACCUCCCCUAGCUGUAACAUUAUUCUCAUCUAAUGGGUCAGGAAGCAAAGAUCAAGAAAGACCAAUUGGCAAACAUGAGUCCUGUGUUGUCAUCUAUAAAAAAAGAUUCACCUUGCAUGAUUCUUAUAAGGAAUGAGAAGAUAAGGCCAGGCAUGAUGGCACAUACCUGUAAUCCCAGCACUUGGGAGGCUGAGGCAGGAGGAUCAAAGUUCAAGACCAGCCUUGCUAUAUAGUGAGACGCUGUAAAGAAAGAAAGGUAGGAAGGAAGGGGGGAGAUAAAGAGAAAAAAAAAAUGUAGGGAAUCUGAAUAAACAAUGUCAAUUAAACAUAUAUAUGAUUUUGUUUUUAAUUAAUCUAUCUAG
rnacentral:lncRNA from 1 species